AGUCAGGCAACGAGCGAGACCCACGCCAACAGUUGCUAGCAUGUUCUCCGGAAUGAUGAGGACACUGUUGGGACCGCCUCUGCUAAAGAGGAGGAAGGAAUGGGCAACGGUAGGUCAGCAUGCCCCGAAUUAUCCGGGCUACACGCGGGCUACAAUGGUCAGGACAAUGGGAAACGGCACUGAAAAGUGUAGUCAAUCUCCUAAACCUGUCCCAAGUUCGGAUUGUGGGCUGCAACUCGCCCACAUGAAGCUGGAAUCCGUAGUAAUCGCGUUUCAAAAUAGCGCGGUGAAUAAGUCCCUGCUCCUUGCACACACCACCCGUCAAACCAUCUUAGUGAGGUUUGGAUGAGGCUGUGGUUAACUGCCACAGUCGAAUCUAGUUUCGCAAGGAGGU
rnacentral:rRNA from 1 species